GACGUAGGGCGCGAGCGUUGUCCGGAUUUAUUGGGCGUAAAGAGCUCGUAGGCGGCUUGUCGCGUCGAAUGUGAAAUCCUGCGGCUCAACUGCAGGCUUGCAUUCGAUACGGGCAGGCUCGAGUUCGGUAGGGGAGACUGGAAUUCCUGGUGUAGCGGUGAAAUGCGCAGAUAUCAGGAGGAACACCGGUGGCGAAGGCGGGUCUCUGGGCCGAUACUGACGCUGAGGAGCGAAAGCGUGGGUAGCAAACAGG
rnacentral:rRNA from 1 species